rnacentral:rRNA from 1 species
UACAGAGGGGGCAAGCGUUAUUCGGAAUUAUUGGGCGUAAAGGGCGCGUAGGCGGCCUUGUAAGUCUUGGGUGAAAUCCCUCAGCUCAACUGAGGAACUGCCUCGGAUACUGCAAGGCUUGAGGCCGGGAGAGGGUAGUGGAAUUCCCAGUGUAGCGGUGAAAUGCGUAGAUAUUGGGAGGAACACCGGUGGCGAAGGCGGCUACCUGGAACGCAACUGACGCUGAGACGCGAAAGCGUGGGGAGCAAACAGG